GACGAACGCUGGCGGCGUGCUUAACACAUGCAAGUCGAACGGUAAGGCCCUUCGGGGUACACGAGUGGCGAACGGGUGAGUAACACGUGGGUGAUCUGCCCUGCACUUCGGGAUAAGCCUGGGGAACUGGGUCUAAUACCGGAUAGGACCCUGGGAUGCAUGUCCUGGGGUGGAAAGCUUUUGCGGUGUGGGAUGGGCCCGCGGCCUAUCAGCUUGUUGGUGGGGUGAUGGCCUACCAAGGCGACGACGGGUAGCCGGCCUGAGAGGGUGACCGGCCACACUGGGACUGAGAUAUGGCCCAGACUCCUACGGGAGGCAGCAGUGGGGAAUAUUGCACAAUGGGCGCAAGCCUGAUGCAGCGACGCCGCGUGAGGGAUGACGGCCUUCGGGUUGUAAACCUCUUUCAGCACCGACGAAGCGCAAGUGACGGUAGGUGCAGAAGAAGGACCGGCCAACUACGUGCCAGCCGCCGCGGUAA
rnacentral:rRNA from 1 species